GCCUGUCGUAAAUGGCGGGGCUUGUCGCAGGUGCAGCAGCACGGGCCCCAGGUGCCUUCACCAGUGGUUUCCCUGGGAACCGGAGCGAGACGACUCCGAACCGCGUCUCCUGGGUCCGGAGAGGCGUACUUGAAUUAACUUCGAGUGUGUUGGGUUGGCCAGGCGUCCGAACGGGAACCUUCGCUGCGAGUUGAGGACUGCUAGAACGAGCCUUAUAGAACCAAGGCAUGUAAAUCAUCUGCAGUAAGAGGGAAGAGGAGAGAAGAGACACAAUGAAAAGACAUCCUGACUUCCCCACAGUACUUCAGUUCCAGGUUCCGGUCUAUUCCUGAGGCUUAAUAACAUCUUUACCCAUGGUACCCAUGGUUCUGUAUGACAUCCUUAUCCCUUGUUGGGGAGUGCACAGUGUGACCUGUCUCCUGUCUGCCCAAGUUCUCACCCUUUGGCCACUGCCUGAAUGAUAGCAUCUGCCU